UACAGAGGCCUCGAGCGUUAGGCGGAAUCACUGGGCUUAAAGCGUGUGUAGGCGGAUCGGUAAGUACCUUGUGAAAUCCCACGGCUUAACUGUGGAACUGCUGGGUAUACUGCCAGUCUUGAGCCACUCAGGGGUUACCGGAACAAAUGGUGGAGCGGUGAAAUGCGUAGAUAUCAUUUGGAACGCCAAUGGUGAAAACAGGUAGCUGGGGGUGUGCUGACGCUGAGACACGAAAGCCAGGGGAGCAAACGGG
rnacentral:rRNA from 1 species